UUAGAAAAUAAUGUAAAGUGGGUGAUUAUGUUAUAGUAUGUCAUUGGAAAUGCUUCUAUGUGAUAGAUUAUGACACUCAAGCAUACGGGUUUAGAUAUUACUAAAAUUGAGUAUGAGAACAUGAUUACAUGUAAUAUGUGCAUGUGAUGUAUUUUGGCACAAUCGUGUUGGGUGGGAGUUCAUUCUAAGUAGGGUAGUGACUUCAAAUCCAUGUUAUAAGCCUCUACUGCAAGUGGCCCUGGUGGUUGGUGAAAAUAUGAAAAUUGCUUAGUAUUGCCAUUGUCCUUAGAAAAAUGAUAUGGGUGGCAUAUCUUGCAUCACCGGCUUCUUACAAGGAAUGGUAUGGGUCAAGCAUCAUGACACCCUUGAGAUUCAAGAAAGGAAAAAUUCAUGGUCCAAGAUGAGAAUCGUGGUCUUCUCUGAUCUCCUCCUCCUCUACUUCUUCAUCCUCAUGUAGUGGUGUACUUCUCUUAACCUUACUGUGGGUCUAGUAUUAAGGCGAGCCACUCAAGCAUCGAACGGAGAAGAAAAAGAAGAGUUAAAGUUGCUGUGCCAUACACCGUGGCACGUAGAUCAUCCGCCACGGUGCACAGCCAUCUCUGAGUGAGGGAAGACCUCUCUGUACCAUGUGUCGUGGCACGUUGUGCAUCCACCGCGGCACAUAGCAUUUUCUGUACUUUAUUAUACGUUAAUUAAGACAGAAAAAGAAAGAAGAGAAAAGAGAUAAAGAAUAGGCGCAUCUUAGCUCUGCUAAGGUUUGCUUGGGGAUUACUUUGAGAGUAUUUUGAAGGCUACAAAUAUCCAAGGCUCUAGCAUUGGUGUUGAGAGGGAGAAGACUAAAGAGUUGGGAAUUAGUACAUUCCUUCCUGUAUGCCUCUGGUUUUAGAUGUAGUUAUGUAAUAGCAUAUGUUUACCAAUUUUAGGAUGCAUAUUACCCAUACUUGCACUAUUUUGGUUUGGAAAUGUUAUAAUUGUAUUUUGGGCCCUUAGCCUUGGUUUAUGUUGUCAUAUAUAUGUUUUAUAAGGCCAAAAUACUAGUGCAAGUGUAGAAAAGAAGAUUUAAACAUGUUUUGAAUGUUUUAGAGUUUAAUGCAAUGCUAUCUUACCUCCCCCUUUGUUUUUGGUAAAUUGGGGUUGAGGAGUGAAUUUCAAUCAUAAUGAUGUUUCAAUGCUUGAGACGUGUUGUACUGGUAGUCCUAGGUCCAUUGGACAUGGUCUAGGUGUUAGGAAAAGCUUUUGGCACUUGUUGAAGGUUUUGAACACCCAUUUUAUAUAAAAGUGUUGAAAAGUGGUUAAAUGGUGUUUGGGUGUCCAACUUCCUAGUGUGAUGUGUUUUGGAAGUGAAGCCUGUGCCAUUAGUUAGUACAGGAAAAGGACUUUUCAUAGACACCUAGAUCACGUCAAUCAGAUGUCGGACG